GGGUAAUAUUGCACAAUGGGCGAAAGCCUGAUGCAGCGACGCCGCGUGAGUGAUGAAGGCCUUCGGGUCGUAAAGCUCUGUCGCAGGGGAAGAACAACAUGAAGGUACCCUGUAAGACAGCAUCGGCUAACUUAGUGCCAGCAGCCGCGGUAAGACGAGGGAUCCUAGCGUUGUUCGGAAUCAUUGGGCGUAAAGCGGGUGUAGGUGGCUUUGUAAGUCGGGUGUGAAAGCCUGGGGCUUAACCCCAGAAGUGCAUUCGAUACUGCGAAGCUUGAGUGGUAGAGAGGUUAGUAGAAUUGUUGGUGUAGUGGUGAAAUACGUAGAUAUCAACAGGAAUACCGGAGGCGAAGGCGGCUAACUGGCUACACACUGACACUCAGACCCGAAAGUGCGGGGAUCAAACA
rnacentral:rRNA from 1 species